UCUCCAGAGCAGAAAUGUCUGAGGAAGUAAAAGCACAAUCAGCUUGAUGUUGAGGAGAAGGGCUGUGCAGCAGAGAGGCUGUUUAGUUGCUUGAUUCUACUGCAGUGGAAGAACAUUGUUCAUCUGCUGUCUGUUUGGCUUCAACAACUCCAAAGACAUGUUGCUUUACCUCUUUUUGCUUUUAUCUGACUUCAUAGCCAUGGGCUCCAUGAACAGCAUCAAGCCAGAAAUUACAGAAGAAGUUGUUGAAGAGGGAAGAACCAUCAGCCUGACCUGUAAAUAUGAGGGUUCUAUCGACAAUAUCCAGUGGUACCGACAGAACCACAGAUCCAGACCAGAGUUCCUGCUCUCCAUCACAGAGGAAGGAUCGACUCAUCCAACUCUUUCUGAUUUCUCAGCUCACAUUGACAAAACAGAGAAACGUGUAGAUCUGAAGAUCAUCUCAGCUAAAGUGACAGACUCUGCUGUGUACUACUGUGCUGUGAGGCCCACAGUGACAGGAAACAGCACAACUCUGUACAAAAACACAAGCUGACUCACUGACAAGCUGCUGGAAGCCUUUUUUCCAACAAAGUGCUGAACUCAACUUUUUAGCUCCACUAGAGGGCGACAUUAUGAAGUAGGCGGUGCACUACUUGUGCUCUCUGUUCAAGCAUUGUGUCAAUAAUAACUGCUGCUGUGAAGAGAAGAAUUGUCAGACUCAGUGUUGAACAUCAGCUACUUUCUCCUGUUGCUUU